GCUGUGCUUGUCUGUGAUAACCUUGUUCUGAUUGCACGUCCCAGUGACGCCGACAACGCAUUCGGAUGUCUGCCCUAUCAACUUUCGAUGCUAUUAUCCACGCCUACCAUGAUGACCACGGGUAAUGGGGAAUUAGGGUUCGAUUCCAGAGAAGGAGCCUGAAAAAUGGCUCUCACAUGCAAGGAAGGCAGACGACGCGCAAAUUACUCACUCCCGACGCAGGGAGGGAGUGAC